AUUGAACGCUGGCGGCAGGCCUAACACAUGCAAGUCGAACGAGUGGCGGACGGGUGAGUAAUGUAUGGGAAACUGCCCGAUGGAGGGGGAUAACUACUGGAAACGGUAGCUAAUACCGCAUACCAUCGGAUGAGCCCAGAUGGGAUUAGCUAGUAGGUGGGGUAAAGGCUCACCUAGGCGACGAUCCCUAGCUGGUCUGAGAGGAUGACAAGCCACACGGGAACUGAGACACGGCCCAGACUCCUACGGGAGGCAGCAGUGGGGAAUAUUGCACAAUGGGCGCAAGCCUGAUGCAGCCAUGCCGCGUGUAUGAAGAAGGCCUUAGGGUUGUAAAGUACUUUCAGCGAGGAGGCGUUACUCGCAGAAGAAGCACCGGCUAACUCCGUGCCAGCAGCCGCGGUAAUUC
rnacentral:rRNA from 1 species